AUUGAACGCUGGCGGCAUGCCUUACACAUGCAAGUCGAACGGCAGCACGGGGCAACCUGGUGGCGAGUGGCGAACGGGUGAGUAAUGCAUCGGAACGUACCUUUCAGUGGGGGAUAACGUAGCGAAGGUUACGCUAAUACCGCAUAUUCUGUGAGCAGGAAAGCAGGGGAUCGCAAGACCUUGCGCUGAUUGAGCGGCCGAUGUCAGAUUAGCUAGUUGGUGAGGUAAAGGCUCACCAAGGCGACGAUCUGUAGCGGGUCUGAGAGGAUGAUCCGCCAACCUGGAACUGAGACACGGUGCAGGCUCCUACGGGAGGCAGCAGUGGGGAAUUUUGGACAAUGGGGGCAACCCUGAUCCAGCCAUGCCGCGUGAGUGAAGAAGGCCUUCGGGUUGUAAAGCUCUUUCGGCCGGGAAGAAAUCGCACGGGCUAAUACCCUGUGUGGAUGACGGUACCGGAAUAAGAAGCACCGGCUAACUACGUGCCAGCCGCCGCAGUAACAC
rnacentral:rRNA from 1 species